AUCUUUUAGAUGACGAAGUGGUUGAUGCCAUGCUUCCAAGAAAAGCUUCUAAGCUUCAGGUAACCAGGAACCGUACCCCAAACCGACACAGGUGGUUGGGUAGAGAAUACCAAGGCGCUUGAGAGAACUCGGGUGAAGGAACUAGGCAAAAUGGCACCGUAACUUCGGGAGAAGGUGCGCCGGUGAGGGUGAAGGACUUGCUCCGUAAGCUCAUGCCGGUCGAAGAUACCAGGCCGCUGCGACUGUUUAUUAAAAACACAGCACUCUGCAAACACGAAAGUGGACGUAUAGGGUGUGACGCCUGCCCGGUGCCGGAAGGUUAAUUGAUGGGGUUAGCUAACGCGAAGCUCUUGAUCGAAGCCCCGGUAAACGGCGGCCGUAACUAUAACGGUCCUAAGGUAGCGAAAUUCCUUGUCGGGUAAGUUCCGACCUGCACGAAUGGCGUAACGAUGGCGGCGCUGUCUCCACCCGAGACUCAGUGAAAUUGAAAUCGCUGUGAAGAUGCAGUGUAUCCGCGGCUAGACGGAAAGACCCCGUGAACCUUUACUAUAGCUUUGCACUGGACUUUGAAUUUGCUUGUGUAGGAUAGGUGGGAGGCUUUGAAGCGUGGACGCCAGUUCGCGUGGAGCCAACCUUGAAAUACCACCCUGGCAACUUUGAGGUUCUAACUCAGGUCCGUUAUCCGGAUCGAGGACAGUGUAUGGUGGGUAGUUUGACUGGGGCGGUCUCCUCCUAAAGAGUAACGGAGGAGUACGAAGGUGCGCUCAGACCGGUCGGAAAUCGGUCGUAGAGUAUAAAGGCAAAAGCGCGCUUGACUGCGAGACAGACACGUCGAGCAGGUACGAAAGUAGGUCUUAGUGAUCCGGUGGUUCUGUAUGGAAGGGCCAUCGCUCAACGGAUAAAAGGUACUCCGGGGAUAACAGGCUGAUACCGCCCAAGAGUUCAUAUCGACGGCGGUGUUUGGCACCUCGAUGUCGGCUCAUCACAUCCUGGGGCUGAAGCCGGUCCCAAGGGUAUGGCUGUUCGCCAUUUAAAGUGGUACGCGAGCUGGGUUUAGAACGUCGUGAGACAGUUCGGUCCCUAUCUGCCGUGGACGUUUGAGAUUUGAGAGGGGCUGCUCCUAGUACGAGAGGACCGGAGUGGACGAACCUCUGGUGUUCCGGUUGUCACGCCAGUGGCAUUGCCGGGUAGCUAUGUUCGGAAUAGAUAACCGCUGAAAGCAUCUAAGCGGGAAACUAGCCUCAAGAUGAGAUCUCACUGGAACCUUGAGUUCCCUGAAGGGCCGUCGAAGACUACGACGUUGAUAGGUUGGGUGUGUAAGCGCUGUGAGGCGUUGAGCUAACCAAUACUAAUUGCCCGUGAGGCUUGACCAU
rnacentral:rRNA from 1 species